AAAUUAUUUACUGUUUUGAAGGAAAGAUAGUAUUUCACAACACAAUUUUUCAAUUUUACGGUUUUGACGGGAAAAAUACAAUUCUCCGAUUUUACGAUUUUGACGGAAAAACGUAAUUCCGCAAACUUUCCUCUAAAAUCGCAAUUUUAUUAUAUUGGCGAGAACACAAUUUUAUGGUUUUGACGGGAAAACGCAAUUCUCCGAUUUUACGGUUUUGGCGGGAAAACGCAAUUUUCUGCCAAAAUCGUAAUGUUAUUAUAUUGGCGAAAACACAAUUUUACAGUUUUGGUGAGAAAACACAAUUCUCCGUUUUGGCGGGAAAAAACAAUUUUACGAUUUUACCCUUUUGGCGGAAAAAAACAAUUUCAUAUUUUUCCGCCAAAAUCGUGAUUUUAUUGUAUUAGUAAAAAAAACACAAUUUUACCGUUUUGUCGGAAAAAAUCAAAAUGCAAAAACACAAUUCUUUAAAAUCAUGAUUUUUGAUUUAUCAAUAAUAAAAUGGGUUGAUCAUGGACUUACCCACAUGGACAUGGUCUUUACUGGGCAUAGACAUUUUUCGGACCAUUGUCCAUUAUGGACCGUCCAACUUGGCCCAUAAAAAAAACUGUCCGUACGGAUACGCCCAAAGAUCCCUGGACGGACCAUUUGACAGCUCUAGUUCUAGUUGAAGAAAUGGCUGAUACUAAUGAAGAUUGCUACAUAGUGAAUGCUGCGGCCUACGUUGGUUACUAAGUCUCUCUAUUCUUGUGUGGUCGACUCCGAGUUUAACAAU
rnacentral:sRNA from 1 species